rnacentral:rRNA from 1 species
GUCCACGCUGUAAACGAUGGGCACUAGGUGUCGCGGGUAUUGACCCCUGCGGUGCCGCAGCUAACGCAUUAAGUGCCCCGCCUGGGGACUACGGCCGCAAGGUUAAAACUCAAAGGAAUUGACGGGGGCCCGCACAAGCGGUGGAGCAUGUGGUUCAAUUCGACGCAACGCGAAGAACCUUACCCGGGCUAGACAACAGAGGGCCGCCCUAGAAAUAGGGCUUUCCCUUCGGGGACCUCUGGUUCAGGUGCUGCAUGGCUGUCGU